rnacentral:rRNA from 1 species
GUGGGGAAUCUUCCGCAAUGGGCGAAAGCCUGACGGAGCAAUGCCGCGUGAGUGAUGAAGGAAUUCGUUCCGUAAAGCUCUUUUGUUUAUGACGAAUGUGCAGACUGUGAAUAAUGGUUUGUAAUGACGGUAGUAAACGAAUAAGCCACGGCUAACUACGUGCCAGCAGCCGCGGUAAUACGUAGGUGGCGAGCGUUGUCCGGAAUUAUUGGGCGUAAAGAGCAUGUAGGCGGUUUUUUAAGUCCGGAGUGAAAAUGCGGGGCUCAACCCCGUAUGGCUCUGGAUACUGGAAGACUUGAGUGCAGGAGAGGAAAGGGGAAUUCCCAGUGUAGCGGUGAAAUGCGUAGAUAUUGGGAGGAACACCAGUGGCGAAGGCGCCUUUCUGGACUGUGUCUGACGCUGAGAUGCGAAAGCCAGGGUAGCGAACGGGAUUAGAUACCCCUGUAGUCC